UACGGGGGGCAAGCGUUGUUCGGAAUUACUGGGCGUAAAGGGCGCGUAGGCGGCCUGCUAAGUCGGAUGUGAAAGUCCCCAGGCUACACCUGGGAACUGCAUCGAUACUGGAUGGACUUGGAAUUCGGGAGGAGGGAUGCAAGAAUUCCGAGGGUGUAGCGGUGAAAUGCGUAGAUAUCUGGAGGAAUACCGGUGGCGAAGGCGGCAUCCUGGACCGACAUUGACGCUG
rnacentral:rRNA from 1 species